GACAGAGGGUGCAAACGUUGUUCGGAAUUACUGGGCGUAAAGCGUGUGUAGGUGGCUGCGUAAGUCGGAUGUGAAAGCCCUGGGCUCAACUCAGGAAGUGCACUCGAUACUGCGUAGCUCGAGUACCGGAGAGGUUGGUAGGAUUCUCGGUGUAGAGGUGAAAUUCGUAGAUAUCGAGAGGAAUACCUGUGGCGAAGGCGGCCAACUGGACGAGUACUGACACUGAGACACGAAAGCGUGGGGAGCAAACAGG
rnacentral:rRNA from 1 species